CUCCCCUAUCUUAAUCAGUGGCAAGCUCUGUUGAAUAGCCAUGCAUGUCUAAGUACAGACCUUCAAACGGUGAAACCGCGAAUGGCUCAUUAAAUCAGCUAUGGUUCCUUGGAUCGUACAUACUACAUGGAUAACUGUAGUAAUUCUAGAGCUAAUACAUGCCACUAUGCCCUGACCCGCAAGGGAACGGGUGGAUUUAUUAGAACAGAACCAACCGGCAGUGGCCUCGGUCACCGUCGUUGCAUUCUGUGAUGACUCUGGAUAACUUUACUGAUCGCAGUCGGCCCUGUGUCGGCGACGGAUCUUUCAAAUGUCUGCCCUAUCAAUUUUCGAUGGUAGGUGAACCUGAGAAGGAUCAA
rnacentral:rRNA from 1 species